UCGGGAAUUUUGGGCAAUGGGCGAAAGCCUGACCCAGCAACGCCGCGUGAGUGACGAAGGCCUUAGGGUUGUAAAACUCUUUCGUCGGGGACGAUAAUGACGGUACCCGAAGAAGAAGCUCCGGCUAACUUCGUGCCAGCAGCCGCGGUAAUACGAAGGGAGCUAGCGUUGUUCGGAAUCACUGGGCGUAAAGCGCACGUAGGCGGAUAGUUAAGUCAGGGGUGAAAUCCUGGGGCUCAACCCCAGAACUGCCUUUGAUACUGGCUGUCUCGAGGUCGAGAGAGGUUGGUGGAAUUCCUAGUGUAGAGGUGAAAUUCGUAGAUAUUAGGAAGAACACCAGUGGCGAAGGCGGCCAACUGGCUCGAUACUGACGCUGAGGUGCGAAAGCGUGGGGAGCAAACAGGAUUAGAUACCCCGGUAGUCCCUGAGCGGGCUGGCAAGGCGCAU
rnacentral:rRNA from 1 species